rnacentral:rRNA from 1 species
UGAACGCUGGCGGCAUGCCUAACACAUGCAAGUCGAACGGAAACGAUGGAGAGCUUGCUCUUCAGGCGUCGAGUGGCGGACGGGUGAGUAAUGCUUAGGAAUCUGCCCAUGUAGUGGGGGACAACCUGGUGAAAACCAGGCUAAUACCGCAUGAGCCCUUCGGGGGAAAGCAGGGGAUCUUCGGACCUUGCGCUAUUGGAUGAGCCUAAGUCGGAUUAGCUUGUUGGUGGGGUAACGGCCUACCAAGGCGACGAUCCGUAGCUGGUCUGAGAGGAUGAUCAGCCACACUGGGACUGAGACACGGCCCAGACUCCUACGGGAGGCAGCAGUGGGGAAUAUUGGACAAUGGGCGAAAGCCUGAUCCAGCAAUGCCGCGUGUGUGAAGAAGGCCUGCGGGUUGUAAAGCACUUUCAGUAGCGAGGAAAAGCUUAAGGUUAAUAACCUUGAGUCUUGACGUUAACUACAGAAGAAGCACCGGCUAACUCU